rnacentral:rRNA from 1 species
AUUGAACGCUGGCGGCAGGCCUAACACAUGCAAGUCGAACGAGAGGCGGACGGGGGAGUAAUGUGUGGGAAACUGCCCGCUGGCGGGGGGUAACUACUGGAAACGGUAGCUAAUACCGCAUACCCUCUGAUGUUCCCCGAUGGGAUUAGCUAGUGGGUGGGGUAACGGCUCACCUAGGCGACGAUCCCGAGCGGGUCUGAGAGGAUGACCAGCCACAAUGGAACGGGGACACGGCCCAGACCCCUCCGGGAGGCAGAAGUGGGGAAUAUUGCACAAUGGGCGCAAGCCGGCUGCAGCAAGGCGGCGUGUAUGAAGAAGGCUUUCGGUUUGUAAAGUACUUUCAGCGAGGAGGCGUUACCCGCAGAAGAAGCACCGGCUAACUACGUGCCAGCAGCCGCGGUAAUAC